GGCCGCUCCCAGCUCGGCGCUGUUUCCCGGAGUACGUCCGGUUCCACCUUGAGGGGAUGGAGGUGGCUCGGGGCUCCGGCGCCCCGGAUCCCGGCGACCCCCGACCUCUCAAGCCAUGUCUGCUGCGUCGCAACCAGAGCCGCGAACAGCACGGCGUAGCAGCCUCCUGCCUCGAGGAGCUCAGGAGCAAAGCCUGUGAGAUUCUGGCCAUUGAUAAGAACCUAACACCAAUCACCCUGGUCCUAGCAGAAGAUGGUACCAUAGUGGAUGAUGACGAUUACUUCCUUUGUCUUCCUUCCAAUACUAAGUUUGUGGCUUUGGCUUGUAAUGAAAAGUGGACAUACAACAAUUCAGAUGGUGGCACAGCUUGGAUUUCCCAGGGGUCUUUUGAUGUGGAUGAAACAGACAGUGGGGCUGGAGCGAAAUGGAAGAACCUGGCCAGGCAGCUGAAAGAAGAUCUGUCCAACAUCAUCCUGCUCUCAGAAGAGGACCUCCAAGUGCUCAUCGAUGUACCAUGUUCAGACCUGGCUCAGGAACUUGGCCAAAGUUGUGCCACUGUCCAGGGUCUUCAGAACACACUUCAGCAGGUCCUCGACCAGAGAGAGGAAGCCCGCCAGUCCAAGCAGCUUCUGGAGCUUUAUCUCCAGGCUUUGGAGAAGGAGGGUGGCAUCUUGUCCAUGCAGAAAGAGUCCAAAGCAGCCUUCAGCGAAGAGGUGGAUACUGUGGACACAGGCAGCGGCAGAGAGAUUGCUUCCAAAAUUGCUCUGACAAGCCAGAUCCUUACCACCCUGAAGGAGAAGCCGGCUCCAGAGCUGAGUUUAUCUAGUCAGGAUUUGGAGGUGGGCGAGAAUCAGGGACUCUGAGCUGCGGAGGAAGACUUGCUGUGGAGAUGUAGAUGACUGCAGAGAUGGUGGGACUUCCUUCCCCACCUCUGCAGACCCUGGAUGAUAGAUGCCAGCUUGGCCUUGUACACCCAAAGCAUUCACACAUAACUCCUUUAAUCACGAUGGCUUUUACAAGAAAACGGGUAUACUUCCUCAGCUCAUUAUACCCUGGCCCACACCGAACAGGGAGGGCAGCAAGGUACAGGCAUCUGAGGCAGCCUCUGCUAGUUGUCAUGGGACAAAGGCCCAGUAGUUAAUUCCAAGGCCUGCAGAAUAGCACAUCAGAAGGCAAACUAAGGGCUGGGGAUACAGCACAGUGGUAGAGCACUUGCCUAGCAUAUGUGGAAUUGUGGGUUCAAUCCCUGGUACCACCAAAAAUAAGCAAAUAGAUAAGGCUGACUUGCAAGGAUCAUCUUGUGCUGGCUAUCUUUAGACCAAAGAACUAGAAGCUUGACAAUGAGCGGGUGCUACUUUUAACCUUUGUCCUUGUCCCCUCCUCCCCCAUCUCCUGAAUACCUCCCUGUUGUAGACAGAAGGGAAGGAACUUGUAUUUACUUGAACAUAGCUCAGUUUCCUGUUAUGUUGAAUAGGUGUACAAAGGG